rnacentral:rRNA from 1 species
UACGUAGGGGGCUAGCGUUGUCCGGAUUUAUUGGGCGUAAAGAGCGUGUAGGCGGCCAGGUAGGUCUGGUGUGAAAACUCGAGGCUUAACCUCGAGAUGUCAUCGGAAACCAUCUGGCUAGAGUCCGGAAGAGGAGAGUGGAAUUCCACGUGUAGCAGUGAAAUGCGUAGAGAUGUGGAGGAACACCGAUGGCGAAGGCAGGUCUCUGGGCCAUAACUGACGCUGAGAAGCGAAAGCAUGGGGAGCGAACAGG